CCUACGGGAGGCAGCAGUGGGGAAUAUUGGACAAUGGGCGAAAGCCUGAUCCAGCAAUUCCGCGUGUGUGAAGAAGGCCUUCGGGUUGUAAAGCACUUUAGGUUGGGAAGAAAAAGCUUCGGUGAAUAUCCGGAGUGUUGACGGUACCAACAGAAUAAGCACCGGCUAACUCUGUGCCAGCAGCCGCGGUAAUACAGAGGGUGCAAGCGUUAAUCGGAUUUACUGGGCGUAAAGCGUGCGCAGGUGGUUUCGUAAGUCGGAUGUGAAAGCCCCGGGCUCAACCUGGGAACUGCGUUCGAUACUGCGAGACUAGAGUUUGGUAGAGGGUGGCGGAAUUCCCGGUGUAGCGGUGAAAUGCGUAGAUAUCGGGAGGAACAUCAAUGGCGAAGGCAGCCACCUGGGCCUGAACUGACACUGAGGCACGAAAGCGUGGGUAGCAAACAGGAUUAGAUACCCUGGUAGUCCACGCCGUAAACGAUGAGAACUUGACGUUGGUUCGUUUUACGAAUCGGUGUCGUAGCUAACGCGAUAAGUUCUCCGCCUGGGGAGGUACGGCCGCGAGUAGAACUACAANAGAGUAGACGGCGNGAGAGUGCCGACGGACGACGACGAGGGAGUAGG
rnacentral:rRNA from 1 species